rnacentral:rRNA from 1 species
CUUCCUACGGGACGCAGCAGUGAGGAAUAUUGGUCAAUGGGCGAGAGCCUGAACCAGCCAAGUCGCGUGAGGGAAGACGGCCAUACGGGUUGUAAACCUCUUUUGUCAGGGAGCAAGAACGGAUACGUGUAUACGAGCGAGAGUAGCUGAAGAAAAAGCAUCGGCUAACUCCGUGCCAGCAGCCGCGGUAAUACGGAGGAUGCGCGCGUUAUCCGGAUUUAUUGGGUUUAAAGGGUGCGUAGGCGGGCUGCCAAGUCAGCGGUAAAAUUGCGGGGUGCAAC